UUUAAUAUGGCAGAUUUUAGUGCAUUGAAUUUAAAAUUCAAAUAAAAAAAUUUUUAAUUUUUUAUUAAAA
rnacentral:tRNA from 1 species